GUCCAGAUUUGUUGGCCAAACUUUCGGCAGCCUAACAACAGUCAGAUGAGUAAACAGUUUUCCAAUUGCAAGAAAACUUUCCAUUUGCCCGAGAAAGGCAAACAUUCUUCGCCUGUGAUCACAGGAUCAUGCAGUGCCUGGAAAAGUUUUUCGGUUUCCGAAAACAGGAUACAUUAGCCCCUAGAAGGCAGCGUCUAAUUGCUUUGGCCACAAAUCAACAAAUCUUCGUCUUACCUGAAAGUGUGGAAUUUAUGGCAACAUCUGCAGAUUCUUCGGCGCUUUGGCGGCCAUAAAAUCAUUUUGCGGUCACUGAGCAGCGUGGAAAUGGGAAAAACUGGGCGGAAAGUGGGCGAAAAGUGUCGCUCUUUAAAGCGAAAUAAGAAAUUUAUGAAGUUCCAACCCGAUGUUCCCUUAUUCUGGACGACGACACGUACUCUCAAUCCCAGUCACAAUUUUCCAGCUGGUCUUGUUUCUGGGCCACAUCUAAUUCAUUUGGGAAAGUUAUUUAUUGUAUUAUUUACCACUUGAGCCCGAAACUUUGUCAAUUGUUUGUGUUUGCCGACCAGAAAGUUUGUGCCAAAGACACCAGGAAUAUCUGCCUUUGAAUAUCUGGUUUCUUUUUUU
ensembl:ncRNA lncRNA:CR45547 long non-coding RNA:CR45547